AACGAGCGCAACCCUGCAUUCAGUUGCCAUCGGUAAGCCGGGCACUCUGGAUGGACUGCCGGCGACAAGCCGGAGGAAGGUGGGGAUGACGUCAAGUCAUCAUGGCCCUUAUGUCCAGGGCGACACACGUGCUACAAUGGCCGGCACAACGGGAAGCGAAGGGCGACCCUGAGCGGAUCCCCAUAAAAAGCCGGUCCCAGUUCGGAUUGCAGUCUGCAACUCGACUGCAUGAAGUUGGAAUCGCUAGUAAUCGUGGAUCAGCCAAGCCGCGGUGAAUACGUUCCCGGGCCUU
rnacentral:rRNA from 1 species